GACGAACGCUGGCGGCGUGCUUAACACAUGCAAGUCGAACGGAAAGGCCCUGCUUUUGUGGGGUGCUCGAGUGGCGAACGGGUGAGUAACACGUGAGUAACCUGCCCUUGACUUUGGGAUAACUUCAGGAAACUGGGGCUAAUACCGGAUAGGAGCUCCUGCUGCAUGGUGGGGGUUGGAAAGUUUCGGCGGUUGGGGAUGGACUCGCGGCUUAUCAGCUUGUUGGUGGGGUAGUGGCUUACCAAGGCUUUGACGGGUAGCCGGCCUGAGAGGGUGACCGGCCAAAUUGGGACUGAGAUACGGCCCAGACUCCUACGGGGGGCAGAAGGGGGGAAUAUUGCACAAUGGGCGGAAGCCUGAUGCAGCAACGCCGCGGGCGGGAUGACGGCCUUCGGGUUGUAAAACGCUUUCGCCUGUGACGAAGCGUGAGUGACGGUAAUGGGUAAAGAAGCACCGGCUAACUACGUGC
rnacentral:rRNA from 1 species